AGAGUUUGAUCCUGGCUCAGGAUGAACGCUAGCGACAGGCCUAACACAUGCAAGUCGAGGGGCAUCGGGGCGAGGAGCAAUCCUUGCCGCCGGCGACCGGCGCACGGGUGAGUAACGCGUAUGCGACCUGCCCGUUGCAGGGGGAUAAUCGGGAGAAAUCCCGUCUAAUACCGCGUAAUGCCGCGGGGCUGCAUGGCCCUGCGGCCAAAGGAAGCGAUUCCGGCAACGGAUGGGCAUGCGUGACAUUAGCUAGUUGGCGGGGCAACGGCCCACCAAGGCGACGAUGUCUAGGGGUUCUGAGAGGAAGGUCCCCCACACUGGUACUGAGACACGGACCAGACUCCUACGGGAGGCAGCAGUGAGGAAUAUUGGUCAAUGGGCGCGAGCCUGAACCAGCCAAGUCGCGUGAGAGAUGACGGCCCUACGGGUUGUAAACCUCUUUUGUCAGGGAGCAAGAGGCGGGUCGGGACCUGCUGUGAGAGUACCUGAAGAAAAAGCAUCGGCUAACUCCGUGCCAGCAGCCGCGGUAAUACGGAGGAUGCGAGCGUUAUCCGGAUUUAUUGGGUUUAAAGGGUGCGCAGGCGGAGGCACGAGUCAGCGGUAAAAUCGCGGGGCUCAACCCCGCUCCGCCGUUGAAACUGUGUCCCUUGAGUGUCGGAGAGGUAAUCGGAAUUCCUUGUGUAGCGGUGAAAUGCGUAGAUAUAAGGAAGAACACCAGUGGCGAAGGCGGAUUACUGGACGAUAACUGACGGUGAGGCGCGAAAGCGUGGGGAGCAAACAGGAUUAGAUACCCUGGUAGUCCACGCUGUAAACGAUCGAUACUAGGUGUGCGGGGACUGACCCCCUGCGUGCCGGAGUUAACACAAUAAGUAUCGCACCUGGGGAGUACGAUCGCAAGGUUGAAACUCAAAGGAAUUGACGGGGGCCCGCACAAGCGGUGGAUUAUGUGGUUUAAUUCGAAGAUACGCGAAGAACCUUACCAGGUCUUGACAUCCGACUAACGAAGUAGAGAUACAUUAGGUGCCCUUCGGGGAAAGUCGAGACAGGUGGUGCAUGGUUGUCGUCAGCUCGUGUCGUGAGAUGUUGGGUUAAGUCCCGCAACGAGCGCAACCCUUACUGUUAGUUGCUACGCAAGAGCACUCUAGCAGGACUGCCGUUGACAAAACGGAGGAAGGUGGGGACGACGUCAAAUCAUCAUGCCCCUUAUGACCUGGGCUACACACGUACUACAAUGGCCGUAAACAGAGGGAAGCAAAGCCGCGAGGUGGAGCCAACCCCAAAAGCGGUCUCAGUUCAGAUUGCAGGCUGCAACUCGCCUGCAUGAAGUCGGAAUUGCUAGUAAUCGCAGAUCAGAAUGCUGCGGUGAAUACGUUCCCGGGCCUUGCACACACCGCCCGUCAAG
rnacentral:rRNA from 1 species